AAGUAAAAAUACAACUCCCUUUCUCUCUGCCAUUAAAUAAGCUUUCUCUCUCUUUUUGAUGGAUUUCAAGAUUUUCAUAUGGACACUUGGGUUCUUUAGGAUAUUUUGAUUGGUUCUUUAGGGUUUUAUGUUGAAGAAUUUGACUUCUUGAUGUUUCUUGAUUGACAUUCAUGAUGUAAUUGAUAUUCUUUUGAUUUAGUGGUUUCGUAUGUUUAAGAAUUUACCAUUUUUUUCUUUUAAUCAAGAUUCUACAAUGUCUUGUCUUUAGCAAAGAAUGUAUGGUGGUACCUAAAGUUGUCUCAUGGAUGUUUUGGUCACUACUUUUAGGCUCUUUUAGAGGGUUGUAAUUGUUUGUGGUAUCUUUAAUGGUGAAGUCUCGGUCAAGAUCAAAUAGAUUUCUGGGUUCUUUAUUGUUCCUAUUUUUUCUUUAAAAUAUACCAAAAGUUGAAUGCCUGCUGUUAGAAGAUUGGAUGGUAUUAUUUCAUUUUUCCUAAAAUAUAUGAAGAUUAAUAAUCAGUGUUUGUUGCAUUCGACAUAAAAGUAUGCUUUCUAUCUUCUUCUUUUUUGUUGAUGGAUUUCAUAAUGCGAUUUCAAGAUUUUCUUGAUUGGAAUUCAACCCUGUAAUUGAUAUUGUUUUGCUUUAGUGGUUUAUUAGGUUCAAGAGUUCACAAUUUUGAAAAACUUCUGCAUCUCCACUACAUUUUUUGCUCUGUAAAGUUAAUAAAGAUACAUCUGUGUUUUCGUCUACAAUGUUCUCUUGUUUUCUUCAAAAUAUCUCGCUGAUUCUCUCUUCAUUCGAUCCACCAUAUGGUUAUAGUAUGGAGUACUAGAGGAGCUUUGUGGAGGCCUCUUCUGUUCCAAUAUAACAGCAGUUUUUGAGGGAUGCACUAUUUCACUUCUAGGGAUCAUCAUGGCUAAGAUGUAACUUUACAAUGAAUAAAGGUGUUCACAUCAUCCUAUCUUUCCUCACAUAUAGAACAUAUCUGUUGCAAAUUAUCAUUCCUUUCCUGUGCUGACUGUGUUUGAGAUUAUGGAAUACUUUUGAGUUUACAAUUUUCAUAACCCUAAGAAAUCAGGACAACGUUCAUACUUUUUAUUUUUUGUUUUGAUAAAGUACACUUUUCUAUUAUUUCUCAUCACCUCUCUUCACUGCAUCAGAAAAGCAAUGAGUUGUAAUGGAGGAUGAAGAAAUUUAAGCAACUGGCAAUAAUCCUCUAAAGAAAUGUUUGGCACAUGUAGGCUUGGUACACCUGAAAAAUAGCCUCUUUCCCCUUAUUUCCUUUUGUUGCACCCAUCAGGUUCCUAUAUUCGGGCAUACAUUUACCCUUCUAAUAAAUUUAUCAGGACGACAAUAAUGAUAUGGCCCUAAGACCUAAUCAUUUCAGCUCAAAUAUGUCUCAAAGAGGUAGAAGGAGAGAGAUUGCUAAUAAUCCUGGACAAGCUUAUUUGAUAGAAGUAUAACAAAGUGCUUAAAGUUUGGUAUGAUAACUAUAAAAUGUAGUCUACUUGUCGAAUUGCUGCUCACACAUCUUAUUAAGUAUUGAUCAGAAAAUUGUCAAAUACAUUUGUCGUUGCAUUUAAAAAGAUAUUAGUCUGGUUGUGGCAGUCAAUUGAAACUUUUUUGUUGGUCUGAUCUUGCCAAACUGUUGAGCUGUGUUGGUCUAUGCUUUCUAACUAUAGUUGUUUCAUAUAAGUGUGGACUAUCUUUGAGUAAAGCUGCUUCUCCAAGGAGUGUAGGCUGGUUAUGUUGGCGAGGAUGCAGAAUCUGUAUCAUCCAAAUUACUCGAGGCUGCUGACUUCAAUGUCGAAGCAGUUGGGCAAUACAUAGACGAAGUUGAUAAAAUAACCAAAAAGGCUGAGAGCCUUAACAUUGGCAGAGAUGUAUUUGAGGAGGGCUUCCAACAGGCGCUGCUGAAGAUGCUUGAAGGAACUGCAAACAGUUGUGGGAAAAGCACUUACCCCUUGCCUUUUGGAUGGUAACAUAGUUUAGUGCUUUUUAGAAUCAAUUUGAUUAUGUUGCGGGUGAAAAACAGAUCUCUACUGGGAAAGAUUGUUUGGCCAAGGAAAAUCAGAUGUCGGACACUGACCUAUUCAACAAACAAGAAACAGGACUUCUUCAGCUAAGUUCACAUAUGUUGGGAGGGGGAAGUCAAGUUAAAUACUGGUUUAUAGGCCUUGGAGCAAUCAUCUACAAAGGAUGUGAAGUUGUAACAAGCUGGACAUUCCUUGUUCAAUAGCUCAUCACUGUUAAUUCUUGAUGCUGCCUGCUCUUUAUACUUUUCCAUACACUAAUCUGCAGAUAGCUAAAGCUAUCCUUUUUAUUUGUGGUGGAGCUUUUGUUGGUAGAGAAGACAAUUUCAGAAAGACGACAAGAUUCUUCAACUGGAUUCGGAGUACCUGUUCUAACUAACAUAAGAGUUAGUGGUCUAACUGAUGCUGUAGUUACAUCAUCACUAUUGGAAUCUGUGAGGAGAUGCUAAAGCUAUCCUUUUUAUUUGUGGUGGAGCUUUUGUUGGUAGAGAAGACAAUUUCAGAAAGAUGACAAGAUUCUUCAACUGGAUUCGGAGUACCUGUUCUAACUAACAUAAGAGUUGGUGGCCUAACUGAUGCUGUAGUUACAUCAUCACUAUUGGAAUCUGUGAGGAGAUCCCUGUGACUUGAGUGUAGAAAGUGACGAUCUCACUGCGGAUGGACUCAUAUUUGUGGUGCGAUUUCCAGUAUUAGUGAGUUUAUCUUCCCUGGAUGAGGAUUAGCUUGUUCAGGGAAUGAGCACUGAGAUUAAGUGUGAAUGUCUUGACAUACUAUGUCAUGUUCUUCACAAGUACGGGAAUUUGAUGGACACUCCCCAUGACUCAUUGUUAACUUCAUUAUUGCCCCAGCUGAGUUCCAAUCAACCUAGUGUCAGGAAGAAGAGCAUUUCAUGUAUAGGUAACCUUGUUAUAAGCUUCUCUGUAUUGUAUGUGCUUUAAAUUUUGAAUGGAGAGUGUAUCAAGUUAAAACAGAGUUUGUUUGAUGGCGUAGUAUAGAUGCUUUGAGAGAUAGUAACAACAAUUUUCCUUUCUGACAUGGAAACAUGAGUUAAUAAGAUUUCUUAGACUAUCAUGUACUGUGUUGGACUGGUGGCCAAGCUUUCAACUUUUCCUGCAGUAAAUUCAGUUCAACCUUUUCUCUUUGUCUUCAAAAUUGUCGGAUGAUUUGCUGGCGAAGGCUACAGUUGAAGUUGUUCGCCUUUUGAGCUAUAAGAGCUCAAAAUCAGAGAUGAUACGAACUAACAUUCAGAUUAUUGGGACCUUAAAGUAGCAAAUCCUAAAUUAUAAUUGAUGCUUGCAUUUUGUCCUAUUAAAUGUCAUGUAAUUUUGAUAUACUUGUUUUAACUUUUAGACAAAUGCCCAAGGACAAUAUACUUUUCUCAACAGUAGGUAUAGUGAAUACUCAAUUAGCAGAUUUCACAUCCAAUAUUCUUCACCCUGUUGGACACUAUGCUUGUCACUGCCCUAGAGAAACUUGUGACAUAGUUGAAAGGGAAAAGAAGCCAGGUCAUCAUUUGACAUUAUUUUGACAACUGGAAAGGCUGACAGAGGAAGACAAGGGAAUCAAGUCAAAGCUGACAGUGCUAAUGAAUACACGGAUGAUGAUGAUGUCAGUUGGAAGGUUAGAAGAGCUGCUGCCAAAUGCUUAGCUGCAUUGGUAGUUACUCAGCCUGAGAUGCUAUCAAAGCUGUACAAGCAGGCUUGUUCAAAGUUGAUUGAUAGGUUUAAAGAAAGGAAGAGUAAGGUAAAUUUGAAACGUCUUCUGAACUUCCUAGAUAAAUUGGUUUUAAUGUCUAAAUACUUGCUCGACAGAUGGCACUGAAUUGUUGCGACAAACAGGCAAUGUUACAGAAGGACAGUCACUUUGUAUGACUUUACUUGUCUUAUUUUGUGUUUUCUGUUAUCAUUUUACUUCCAACUGUGGAAGACAGUCACUUUUGGGAACACCUGUUUCACUUUCAAAGACUGAAUCUAAAUAUAUGCUAUUUUUAGUAUGAACUUGAGCCCGGACAGUACAGUGCAGAAAUAAAGCGGUAAGACAGUAAGAGCAAGGUUAGAAAGGAUGUUGGUGCAUUUUACAUGGAUUUGUUUUUAAUUGCAAAAAAUUGGAUAUACUAUUGCCUAGAGGCUAUUUGUUGGCAUUUAUUAAAUUCGUGGGGUUUCUAGCCUAGA